rnacentral:lncRNA from 1 species
GGCAAGUGUUUUAAGAGUUGGUAGUGAAUAUUAUCAGGCCCACAAGCUGUAUCAUGGGCUUUUGACAGAGAUGUUUUAAGUUCUUCAAGAGAAAAUAGUUUAUUAUAAUUUUCACCAUUUUUUGAUUUAAAGUUUAAUUUAAUUUUUUCUUUUUGUUUUUUAACUUUUUUAAAGUCUUCCCUGUAGUUGUUACAAGAAGAAGACUUCGCAAAAGUUUCACCAAGUUUGUUGGCAAUAUCCUUUUCAGAUGUUAAUAAAUUAUUGCCGUCUUUCAAAUGUUUUACAGUGGCUUUAGAAUUU